rnacentral:rRNA from 1 species
UACAGAGGGUGCGAGCGUUAAUCGGAAUUACUGGGCGUAAAGCGUGCGUAGACGGUAGCGUAAGUCAGAUGUGAAAGCCCCGGGCUCAACCUGGAAAUGGCAUUGGAUACUAUUUAGCUAGAGGAGUGGAGGGGGGACUGGAAUUCUCGGUGUAGCAGUGAAAUGCGUAGAUAUCGAGAGGAACACCAGUGGCGAAGGCGAGUCCCUGGACACUUCCUGACACUGAGGCACGAAAGCUAGGGGAGCAAACAGG